rnacentral:rRNA from 1 species
UGGGGAAUAUUGCACAAUGGGCGCAAGCCUGAUGCAGCCAUGCCGCGUGUGUGAAGAAGGCCUUCGGGUUGUAAAGCACUUUCAGCGAGGAGGAAGGUGGUGAGCUUAAUACGCUCAUCAAUUGACGUUACUCGCAGAAGAAGCACCGGCUAACUCCGUGCCAGCAGCCGCGGUAAUACGGAGGGUGCAAGCGUUAAUCGGAAUUACUGGGCGUAAAGCGCACGCAGGCGGUUUGUUAAGUCAGAUGUGAAAUCCCCGGGCUCAACCUGGGAACUGCAUUUGAAACUGGCAAGCUAGAGUCUCGUAGAGGGGGGUAGAAUUCCAGGUGUAGCGGUGAAAUGCGUAGAGAUCUGGAGGAAUACCGGUGGCGAAGGCGGCCCCCCUGGACGAAGACUGACGCUCAGGUGCGAAAAGCGUGGGGAGCAAAACAGGAUUAGAUACCCUGGUAGCCCAACGCUGUAAAACGAUGUCGAUUUGGAGGUUGUGCCCUUGAGGCGUGGCUUCCGGAGCUAACGCGUUAAAUCGACCGCCUGGGGAGUACGGCCGC